CUAGGAAAUGCUGUGCUAAGGAAGGACAGCUCCGCACAUAUCGAAAGGAAACUUAACCAGGUCAGAGAUUCUGUUUGAGUUGUAACCUACCUGCAACGACUUCCCUAUUUACUGCUCAUAACGACGCACUAUAACAGAGCUUCGAAAUCGCCACGAGAACAAACAGAGACACUAAAAUGCUUAAAAAGUUGUCAGGUGUCACAAAUAUUUGUCCCAAUUAAAUUGUGCUACUUGGGUUUCACCAUGUCUAUCAUUAUACACAUGUGAAGCAGUGGGACAGGACCAACUGUAUACAUCUGUCACACUACGCGCUCUUUGAUGACAUAUGUUCUAUCGUUAAAACGACAGCUCAAAAGACACCUGAAGAGAAGGAAAUAUGAAAGUGGUGUGUGUUUGUCUCCUUCUCCUGCUGCUGUCUUAAAGCUACGAUGAGUCUGCCCAAAAAGAGUACUCUUGUGUUUUACUAGGUAUGAUAAACUGUCUCACUGAAUACUUGCUUGCUUAUUAACCACACUGAACCAUUGUGACAUCAUUUUUUCAGCAUUGUUUAACAUGGAGCGUUCAGUCAGGUUUAACCAAGCUACUGAACAAUUGUUUUCACCAUUGUUUAAAGUGGAGCGUUCAGUUUAACCAAGCUACUAAACUACACCAGAGAUAAUGCUGGUCUACUGUAUGUCCAGGAGAGGGCCUAAGGUGCAACAAAUGUCUUGACAGUGGAGACCACAGCCGAGACACAGGGGAGACCUGCCAAAACGGAAAAAAAAGGUCUGCACGAGAAUCGCUCAAACACUCACUUCGUAUUUAGCUCCCUCCUUCACUUGGCCACUUUACCUUGUGCUUCAUCGGUGCGACCUACCAAGGUUAAAUGAUCAGUAAAAACACACACAUUUUGGAGUAGGAGUGCUGAUCCUGGAUCAGUUUAGCCUUUUAGAUCAUAAUGAAUAAGAUUAUAUGGACACGGAAUACCUAUUCCUGGAUCAGAACUCUGAAAUGCUUUAUAAAUACAGGCCCAGGUUAUGUCUCUUAGAUAUCUGGUAUUUUCAAUCCUCUCUCCACAGCUCCCUAAACAUUUAAGAGAUGCAUGUAGAUGUCAGAAUGCCAGAUGUUUGGAGACGAGAGUGAGAGCAUUCAUGGCUGGUGCUGUCCCGCCAACCUACGCAACUGAGACAACCGUUGACUACCAUAGUUGAUUCUGUAAUUUGGUGUGAUGUCUGGCACCGCAAGAGUACCACAUAUGUAGUCCAUUUACCAUCUAUUACUGUUGUUGUGAAGCAGUUACAAAAUGAAAGUUGCUCCGUUCCCCAACAAUUUGCAUUUGUUUAUUGAUGUCAGCUUUAACUUGAAUGCAUGAUUCAGUUUGAUAAAAUAGAUGGGCCUAUACAGAUAUCAUCUGACUCUUUAGCAUGUGAUUGGUCAGGUAAGUUGAUGGCAUAAAAUAUGAGCACUGAGCAGGACUAUUUGCCACCACCCAAGUCUUGAGCUGCUCUGCCGUUACUAUAGUGACCAAGUGGGAAAGAUCCAGGUGGCAUUUCUAGAACACUUCCCAUGGCAGCCUGCCGUGUCACAAUUCCCAGAUCACUACACCAUCUUUAUCAGGUACUUCACAUAUAAAGUUGUAUUUACAUAACAGUGAAAAGACAGUUUAUAUGAGGACAGCACUGUGUGUUGCCCUAGAGUUUCACAGACACCUGUGAAGCACAAGAACUCAGAUGAGAUUAUUACAUUCUUGUGGUGACAUUUACAUAACCAUUCUAUAAUACCUGGUAAAGAAGAUAUCUCGGACUAUCCUGUGUUUGGUUAUGCAGUGAAGAUGAGAGUCUUGGCUAUAUCGUUCCUUCUUCUGAUGAGUUCUAUUUGUGUCCACCUCUCUCUCCUUGUAACGGUGUCAUGUUUCUGAGGAUUCAGCAGCAGCAAAGAGUGUGGACAUCUCCAGUGAAUCGAAGGAGGACUCCUCCACACCCACUGCUGCAAAUAUGAACUCUGUAACCACUAAAGAGAGUGCAUUUAAAAUGUCUCCUCUCCUCAUCCAUUUGUUAUAUCACACGCAGCCUAAAAAUAAAAUUAAUAAAUAUCUGCAUGUUUA